rnacentral:rRNA from 1 species
GACGAACGCUGGCGGCGUGCUUAACACAUGCAAGUCGAACGAGUGGCGGACGGGUGAGUAAUGCUUGGGACUCUGGCUUAUGGAGGGGGAUAACUACGGGCAACUGUAGCUAAUAACGCGUCCCAUAGGAUGAGCCCAAGGGGGAUUGGGUAGUUGGUGAGGGAACGGCUCACCAAGCCGACGAUCUCUAGCUGGUCUGAGAGGAGUAACAGCCACACGGGGACUGAGACACGGCCCAGACUCCUACGGGAGGCAGCAGUGGGGAAGAUUGCGCAAUGGGGGCAACCUGACGCAGCCAUGCCGCGUGAAUGAAGAAGGCCUUCGGGUUGUAAAGUUCUUUCGGUAGCGAGGCGUUAACUACAGAAGAAGCACCGGCUAACUCCGUGCCAGCAGCCGCGGUAAUUC